rnacentral:misc_RNA from 1 species
AGCAGCCGCGGUAAUUCCAGCUCCAAUAGCGUAUAUUAAAGUCGUUGCAGUUAAAAGCUCGUAGUUGAAUUUCGGGGUCAGCAGGUUGGUCGUGCCAAUGGUAUGCACUGGCCUUGCUGAUUCCUCCCUCUUGAUGAGCCGUAAUGUCAUUAAUUUGGUGUUGCGGGGAAUCAGGACUGUUACUUUGAAAAAUUGAGUGUUUAAAGCAGGCAAGCGCUUGAAUACAUUAGCAUGGAAUAAUGAAAUAGGACGUUUGAU